CCUCCCCGCGCUCCACCUCUAAUAACCUCGCAGCCUGCGCGCCUGGGAAGCUCGUGCGCAGGCGCCCGCCGGGGGCCUUAAGUCUGCGCGGGAGGGCGACGCGCUCGCUCUCGGGUCCGGGUUUCUGGGGCCCGUGAAGCGCGAGACGCGAGUAGAUGGGGAGUGAGCUGCGGGCAGAGCUCUCCUUGGCUAAGCCGGCAGGCUGCUGAGCGCAGGCGCGUGAAGGCUUUUACCCCUCCUUUCUCUCCCCUCUUCCUGCGGGCGCGCGGCUGGAGGCUGGGAACCGGUUCCUGGGUCUUAGUCAGAGGUUCACAUCCACCAACUACCUUCCCAGGGUGGGACUGAUAAGAAGGGGAUCAGAGGGUCCCAGAGACCUUCUUGAGAUCCUGGCUCUCCUGCCAAGGAAUGUACGUUUCCUUGUCACAUGUAAAUGGCCUCCCAUUCCACUUUGUUCUGUAGCAGCUUUCGUUUUUGCCCUUUAUGAGAAGAACCACGUAAGAAAUCCAACUAUUCUGAAGCUACCACAUUGUGAAGAGUCUAACCAAGCCACCUGGAGAGACCAAAUAGAAGAAAACUAAGGCCCCUGGCCAACAGCCCCAGCUGUGCUCCUCCUGGACAGUCAGCACCAGCCUGCCAUGCAUGUGAUUGAGACCAUCUUGGAAAUGGAUCUUCCAGCCCUACUCAAGCUACUGCAGAUGUUACCACAUGCAGCAGAGAUGAGCUUUUCUCCCCAGUGCCCAAAUAGCAGAAUUGUGGGAAAGUAAAUAAAACAGUUGUUGUAUUAAGCCACUAAGUUUGGCUGUAGUUUGUUAGAUAUCAUUAAAUAACCAGAAUAGACCUAUG